AUGGCAGCACCAAACAACAACUCAAACCUUAAAGAACUUAUGGAAUUCAACACAAAUUCUCACUUUCCAAUUAAACAAGAUAAACUAAUUUAUCUUGCUCUUCUUGGCUCCUGUGAUUCUGAAGCACGAUAUGUCAUGGCGGCUUCAGAUACGUCUUAUGAUGCCUGGACUGCUCUUGCUCGUGCCUUCUCAAAUCGAUCGUAG